rnacentral:rRNA from 1 species
CAGCAGCCGCGGUAAUACAGAGGGUGCAAGCGUUAAUCGGAAUUACUGGGCGUAAAGCGCGCGUAGGUGGUUUGUUAAGUUGGAUGUGAAAUCCCCGGGCUCAACCUGGGAACUGCAUCCAAAACUGGCAAGCUAGAGUAUGGUAGAGGGUGGUGGAAUUUCCUGUGUAGCGGUGAAAUGCGUAGAUAUAGGAAGGAACACCAGUGCGAAGGCGACCACCUGGACUGAUACUGACACUGAGGUGCGAAAGCGUGGGGAGCAAACAGGAUUAGAUACCCGCGUAGUCCCUGUCUCUUAUACA